UACGUAGGGGGCGAGCGUUGUCCGGAUUCAUUGGGCGUAAAGAGCUCGUAGGCGGUUCAGUAAGUCGGGUGUGAAAGCUCCGAGAUCAACUCGGAGAGGCCACCCGAUACUGCUGUGACUUGAGUCCAGUAGAGGAGCGUGGAACUCCUGGUGUAGCGGUGAAAUGCGCAGAUAUCAGGAAGAACACCGGUAGCGAAGGCGGCGCUCUGGGCUGGAACUGACGCUGAGGAGCGAAAGCGUGGGUAGCAAACAGG
rnacentral:rRNA from 1 species